rnacentral:rRNA from 1 species
CAGUAGCCACGGGAAUACGUAGGGAGCAAGCGUUGUUCGGAUUUACUGGGCGUAAAGGGCGCGUAGGCGGCGCGGUAAGUCACUUGUGAAAUCUCUGAGCUUAACUCAGAACGGCCAAGUGAUACUGCUGUGCUAGAGUGCGGAAGAGGCAACCGGAAUUCUUGGUGUAGCGGUGAAAUGCGUAGAUAUCAAGAGGAACACCUGAGGCGAAGGCGGGUUGCUGGGCCGACACUGACGCUGAUGCGCGAAAGCCAGGGGAGCAAACGGGAUUAGAUACCCGUGUAGUCCCUGUCUCUUAUAC